rnacentral:rRNA from 1 species
GAGCGAGGCCUGCUGGAGAGCUUGCUCUCCGGUAGUGUCGAGCGGCGAACGGGUGAGUAACACGUGGAUGACCUGCCUCUAGGUGGGGGAUAGCCCGGGGAAACUCGGAUUAAUACCGCAUGAUACCGCGAGGUCAAAGAGGGCUUCGGCUCUCGCCUGGAGAGGGGUCCGCGUCCGAUUAGCUUGUUGGUAGGGUAAUGGCCUACCAAGGCUGCGAUCGGUAGCCGGCCUGAGAGGGUGAUCGGCCACACUGGAACUGAGACACGGUCCAGACUCCUACGGGAGGCAGCAGUGGGGAAUUUUGCGCAAUGGGGGAAACCCUGACGCAGCAACGCCGCGUGGAGGAUGAAGGUCUUUGGAUUGUAAACUCCUGUCAGCGGGGAAGAAGGGCUACGGGCUAAUACUCCGUAGUAUUGACGGUACCCGCAGAGGAAGCCCCGGCUAACUCUGUGCCAGCAGCCGCGGUAAUACAGAGGGGUCUAGCGUUAUUCGGAAUUAUUGGGCGUAAAGGGCGCGCAGGCGGCCUGGCAAGUGGAAGGUGAAAUCCCUCGGCUCAACCGAGGAACUGCCCUCCAAACUGCUUGGCUUGAGUCCGGGAGAGGCGAAUGGAAUUCCCAGUGUAGCGGUGAAAUGCGUAGAUAUUGGGAGGAACACCAGUGG